rnacentral:rRNA from 1 species
GACGAACGCUGGCGGCGUGCUUAACACAUGCAAGUCGAACGGAAAGGCCCUGCUUUUGUGGGGUGCUCGAGUGGCGAACGGGUGAGUAACACGUGAGUAACCUGCCCUUGACUUUGGGAUAACUUCAGGAAACUGGGGCUAAUACCGGAUAGGAGCUCCUGCUGCAUGGUGGGGGUUGGAAAGUUUCGGCGGUUGGGGAUGGACUCGCGGCUUAUCAGCUUGUUGGUGGGGUAGUGGCUUACCAAGGCUUUGACGGGUAGCCGGCCUGAGAGGGUGACCGGCCAAAUUGGGACUGAGAUACGGCCCAGACUCCUACGGGAGGCAGCAGUGGGGAAUAUUGCACAAUGGGCGGAAGCCUGAUGCAGCAACGCCGCGUGCGGGAUGACGGCAUUCGGGUUGUAAACCGCUUUCGCCUGUGACGAAGCGUGAGUGACGGUAAUGGGUAAAGAAGCACCGGCUAACUACGUG